UAAUUCAAAAGCAUCAAUUCUUUGGCAAUCAGCCUUCUUUAUGGUGAGAGCUUGACCAUAAAGAAGGCUGAUCGCCAAAGAAUUGAUGCUUUUGAAUUA